rnacentral:lncRNA from 1 species
GAUUAAUUAACUCAUGAGAAAUUAAAUUUUUAUCGAGUUCCCUAAGCCACGAAACCUCCAACGUAUGUAUAGCUCUUGUCUUUGUGCCAAAGUUGUGUUUGUCGAACAUUUGAACUGAACUCCUUUUCUUGUUUAGCCUGACAUCCAGCCACCAUUAAUUAGUUUGGGUAUCACACUCUUAAUGAUUGUUGCAGUAGUAUAUUGGCUGAGUUAAUUACAUGCUUAUUAUUAAAUGUGGGCUUAGUCAAAUGAGACCCCAACACAACAUGAACUUUUAGAUUGACUUUUUCUACGGUAUUUUU